rnacentral:rRNA from 1 species
CCUACGGGGAGCAGCAGUGGGGAAUAUUGGACAAUGGGCGAAAGCCUGAUCCAGCCAUGCCGCGUGUGUGAAGAAGGCCUUCGGGUUGUAAAGCACUUUCAGUGGGGAAGAAAGCCUUGGGGCUAAUACCCUCGAGGAAGGACAUCACCCACAGAAGAAGCACCGGCUAACUCCGUGCCAGCAGCCGCGGUAAUACGGAGGGUGCGAGCGUUAAUCGGAAUUACUGGGCGUAAAGCGCGCGUAGGCGGUCUGAUAAGCCGGUUGUGAAAGCCCCGGGCUCAACCUGGGAACGGCAUCCGGGACUGUCAGGCUAGAGUGCGGGAGAGGAAGGUAGAAUUCCCGGUGUAGCGGUGAAAUGCGUAGAGAUCGGGAGGAAUACCAGUGGCGAAGGCGGCCUUCUGGACUGACACUGACGCUGAGGUGCGAAAGCGUGGGUAGCAAACAGGAUUAGAUACCCCGGUAGUC